UACGAAGGGGGCUAGCGUUGCUCGGAAUCACUGGGCGUAAAGCGCACGUAGGCGGCGUCUUAAGUCAGGGGUGAAAUCCUGGAGCUCAACUCCAGAACUGCCUUUGAUACUGAGAUGCUUGAGUCCGGGAGAGGUGAGUGGAACUGCGAGUGUAGAGGUGAAAUUCGUAGAUAUUCGCAAGAACACCAGUGGCGAAGGCGGCUCACUGGCCCGGUACUGACGCUGAGGUGCGAAAGCGUGGGGAGCAAACAGG
rnacentral:rRNA from 1 species